rnacentral:rRNA from 1 species
UGCCACCUGAUACAUAAAUAGGUGGUACAAUCCUGCCCAGUGAUCUAUUAAACGGCCGCGGUAUCCUGACCGUGCAAAGGUAGCAUAAUCAUUUGCCUAUUAAUUGUAGGCUGGUAUGAACGGAUAAACGAGAACCAGACUGUCUCCUCUAGAACCAUAAAAAUUUAUAUCCGAGUGAAGAAGCUCAGAUAAUCUCGCAGGACAAGAAGACCCUAUAGAGCUUUACCAUAAAUCUUAUCAUAUAAGCUAACUGGUUCGGUUGGGGCGACCAAGGAAUUUACAUCAUCCUAAAACUUUAAGAUUUACUAAUCACUAAAAAGAUCCUUUACAAAGAUCAUCGAAUCAAGCUACCUUAGGGAUAACAGGCUAAUUCCUCUAGAGAGCCCUUAUUGACAGAGGAGGUUGGCACCUCGAUGUUGGCUUAGGAUUUCUCUAUGACGCAGCAGUCAUAGUCAGAUGGUUUGUUCAACCAUUAAACUCCU